CGAUAUAAUGCUCGGCCUAUCAAGCUGAGUUUUGUUAAGACGUUGAGUCAGCUUGUUGCGAUGAUUCAGGAUUCAUAAUGGAUUUGGACAAGAGCUGGACUAAAAUCACUAAUAAGUUUGAUCGAAGGUUCAUCAAUGGAGCACUAGCUUUUGCAGAAAUGGGUGAAAGAUACAUUGAUAGUCAAGGCAAUAUGCAUUGUCCAUGUAAGG